rnacentral:rRNA from 1 species
GCUCAGAUUGAACGCUGGCGGCAGGCCUAACACAUGCAAGUCGAGCGGCAGCGGAAAGUAGCUUGCUACUUUGCCGGCGAGCGGCGGACGGGUGAGUAAUGUCUGGGAAACUGCCUGAUGGAGGGGGAUAACUACUGGAAACGGUAGCUAAUACCGCAUGACCUCGAAAGAGCAAAGUGGGGGAUCUUCGGACCUCACGCCAUCGGAUGUGCCCAGAUGGGAUUAGCUAGUAGGUGAGGUAAUGGCUCACCUAGGCGACGAUCCCUAGCUGGUCUGAGAGGAUGACCAGCCACACUGGAACUGAGACACGGUCCAGACUCCUACGGGAGGCAGCAGUGGGGAAUAUUGCACAAUGGGCGCAAGCCUGAUGCAGCCAUGCCGCGUGUGUGAAGAAGGCCUUAGGGUUGUAAAGCACUUUCAGCGAGGAGGAAGGCAUCAUACUUAAUACGUGUGGUGAUUGACGUUACUCGCAGAAGAAGCACCGGCUAACUCCGUGCCAGC